CAAGUUUUAUUGCUAAGGUUGUUAAUAUUUGAUAGUACACAAUAGUAAACAAAUGAAUAAAGUAUUUCUGACAUUUCAUUGUUAGAGUAACUAAAGUCAGUAUUAAAUAUGGUUAAAGUUGUUAAUUUGUUAACAACAGUUGUGCAAAGCAAAUCUCUGUAUAAAUUCAAAUUAGUGUUUAUCUAUGAAAGCAAGUAAUUCUCUCUAUUCAUAAAUGAAAUGCCAGAAAUAUUUUCUUUAUUUGUUUACUAUUGUGUUCUAUCAUGGUAUCAAAAGCUUGAUUCCUACGAAGUAGAGUUUCAAGAUCUAAAGAUAUCUUGUUGUUCAAUGGAAGAAACCACGCAAUACAUGUCCAUUAACGAAGUAGGUUCUCAUGGUGCUUUGAUUCACUCGUUUUCUCGCCAUGACAUAGUGAAGCUUCAAGAAAGCACCUUUGUCCUGUGGCAGCAUCAGAUUCUGCUCAUUGUUGAUGGUUAUGGCCUUACCAACUUUGUUACUGGCAGCGUGGUCACACCUCUUACACUUGCACUUAAUAAAGAGGGAAGUUGGUUUCAAAUCUUGCUUAUGCACCUAUUGAUAGCAAGAAAAAUUGCUUACCUCUUGGUUGUUGUCUACUAUUAGUAUGGAUGUUUUACCUUAUUUUAUAGGUACCACCACAACCCAUGCCACCUGGAGCAAGGCAUGUCUUCUGGUUGCAGCAGUGUCGAGCACCAAAGUAUAUUGUCUGAAACAUUCUUUGAAAAAAUGUCACCUCUCUGUGAAGGAGUAUCUGGCCAAGAUUAAGUCCAGCUGUGAUCUUUUGAGUGCUUCUGGACAUGAUGUUUCAAAUGAAGAGCAAGUAAGUAUCAUUUUUGUUAGUCUUUCGAUGGAGUUAGAUUCUAUUUUGAUAUUUGUCUCGUACGUCUCUGAGUCUUUGUCAUUAGAUUGUCUUAUCAGCAUGCUUCUUGAUUAUGGAAAUCGACAAAAAUAGUUUGCCAUUAAGGUUCCAAUUCAGGCGAAUCUGGUUCAACAACCCUUUGAUUGGAGUGUAAAUUCUUCAGCCAGAAAAAAUGCCACUUUUGGUUUUCAUCAAUCUAACUACUUGUCUCAUGGUGGUUGUGGCUUCUAUCGGGGUCGAGGUCAUGGUGGUCAUGGUCGUCCACAAUCUCAGUUGUAUGGUCGGAUAGGGCAUGUCAUCCAAGGUUGUUAUUACUAUUUUGAUCAAUCGUUUCUCGCUAGUAGAUAGGGGUUUCGAUUUCGGUUCUAACCCUCACAUAAGUUUUUCUUUUUAUAAUGAUUCAUAUCCUUCGGCUCUAUAUACUUCUAGUCCAUCAACCCAUACAUCUAGGCCAUCAGUUUUGUCCAGGCAUAUGAUCCAAGCCAAUCAUGUUUCAUAUCAACCACAUGGGUCUUCUGUUGGGUUUCCUGAUCUACCUACAAGUCAAAUGGGCUUGUGUAAUUCAAAUGUUUAUGGUCCAACUUCUAUUCACUCAUGUGGGCUCCCUGUUGUAUCUUAUGGCCAACCAAAUUCUGCUUCAAUGAGGUGCAGCACUAAUUUCCACUUUCGGUAGGCACUACCUCCACCGAAGCCAUAACUUGGUAUCAUGAUUCUGAAGUGACAAAUCAUGAUUUUCAUGAUGCGUCUGUGUUGCAUGGCACGAGCAAUAUUAAGGUAUGACACUCUUACUUAUGGGAGAUGGUACAUGUGCUAAUAUUGCCCAUUUAGGACAUAACACUGUAUCUACUUCAACCAAAUGUUUGCAUUUGAUGAAUAUGUUGCAUGUUCCUAAUAUUUGCAAGAAUUUUAUUUCAGUUUUUUAAUUUGCUCAAGAUAAUAAUGUUUUUUUCGAGUUUCAUCCUUUUCACUCUCGUUAAGGAUAUUCAGAAAAAAGAAGUUUUAUUUCUCGGCUAUACACAUGAUGGUUUGUAUAGGUUUUCUUCAAUAUUUUCUUCUGCUGCUCCGAAUUUCAUUGGUGGUUUAGAUUUGUGCUUGAACAACACUAAAUUUGAAGCAAGUUCUAAUCUUUCUAUUAAGUGUAGUAUUUUUAAAUUGUGGCAUAGGCGACUUGGGCAUUUGUUUUCUCGUGUACUAAAUUUUGUCUUAAAGCUUUGUAAAGUUUCUAAGAGUGAUAAUAAAAUGCAGCAUGUAUGUUUUGCGUGCCAUCAAUGUAAAUCUCAUAAGCUCUCAUUUUUCUCUUCUACUAUUAUCUAUCACAACUCGAUUGAUCUUAUUGUUUCCAAUUUAUGGGGACUGAAUUCUAUAAACUCCUGGUCAAAUUGGUAUUAUGUUACAUUUGUGGAUGUUUAUAGUCAUUUUACUUGGUUAUAUCUUCUUCAAAAGAAAUCUCAAGCUAUUGAUUAUUUUAUGAGUUUUUAGAAAUUUGUUAAAGUGCAGUUCAAUUGAAAUAUCAAGCAAUUUCAAAGUGACUAGGGUGGUGAAUUUCGGUUCAUGGAAUUGUUCAUCAGGUCACUUUUCCACACACAUCAAAACAGAAUGGUAUUGUUGAAAGGAAGCACCGUCAUGUGGUUGGAGUUGGCCUCACACUACUUGUUUAAUCUCAAUAGCCAAUGAAGUAUUAGGGGUAUGCUUUCACUUGUGUUGUCCAUUUGAUCAACUGAUUGCCCACUCUGAUACUCCAAGAUCGGGUGCCUUACUUGUUUUUCAUGGCAUUCAUCCUGAUUAUACACAUCUCAGAGUAUUUGGGUGUUGUUAUUAUCCACACUUACGACCGUUCCAUCAUUACAAAUUAGAGUUUCGGUCUCAGCCAUACAUAUUUCUUAGAUAUAACCCAUAUCAUAAGGGUUAUCAAUGUCUUGUUGAUGAUGGUCUAGUGUUUAUUUCGCAACAUGUGGUGUUUGAUCAGAACUAAUUUUUGUUUGCAACGUCUACCUGUGAUAGUUGUCUCUCUUAACUCCAAUUGUACCACUGCAUAUGUUCCAGUGGUUUGCUCUCCCUCAAUGAAUCAACGACGUCUUUCCCUAAAAUCUACUAACACGGUUGCCUCUGUUGUUCAGUCUCCUUUGGUUUCUCAGACUUUAGUCUCCCCCAUUGCUCGUAUUGAUCAGGAUUCAAAGUGAUCAAUUGCAAUUCACCUAUGUCCACUAGUCCAGUUGCAGAGGUCGAUGAUUUUUCUCUUAAUGGUGGGUCUGCUUCUUAUUCUCCUACACUUAAGGUUUCAGCAAUUAUUCCACUACUUCUAAUUACUCUCCCUCCCACCAACAUUUAUCAUAUGGUUAGUCAUUUGAAAGCUAGUGUUUUUAAACCAAAGGCGCUAAUCGUUGAGCAUGAUGAACGCGAACCUUACACCAUUGAGGAAAUGUUUGCUACUAGAGAGUAGAAAAAGGUUGUUGAUAAAGAAUAUGAUGUCUUGUUUCACAAUAAAACCUGAACUAUAGUUCCGUUACCUCUGGGUUGCAAAGUAGUCGGUUGUAAGUGGAUUUUUAAGGUAAAACAUAAUCCUAAUGGCACCGUAGCUCGUCAAAAAAGGCGAUUGGUUGUAAAAGGGUGUUCUCAAGUUCCUAGUUAUGAUUUUCAGAAGACACUUAAUCUAUUUGUCAAACCAAUUACAAUUUGCACUAUUUUUUCCUUUAAUGUUACCAAAUGUUGGCAGUUGUGCCAACUAGAUAUGAAGAAUAUGUUUUGUAAGAUACCAAAAUAGGGCCUAAAUGGAAUAGUGGUUACGAAACCACGAAUCUGAGGUUAAAAAAAUUUAUUUCAAUUAAUUUUUAAGGUUUAUUCAUUGAUUGAAUAAUUGUGUGAAAAUUUUGUGAAAAAAAUUUAUGUAUAAGUGCCUAAUUUGAUAAUUAGGACUAAAUUGUAAAAUUAGCAAAUUGUGUGUUCUAGAUAAUAAAGGGGAUUUAAUUGAAAUGGGUUCUUAAAGUGAAGGUCCUUAUUUAGAAAUUAGACCAUUAUAUUUAUGUUUGGACAAAAAUGGGCAAGAAUAAGACAAAUUUGAAAGAAAAGCCUUUAAAGGCAUUUUCGUCAUUUAGUAAUUAAAAGAAUUAAAAAGGGAAAAUAAAGCCAAAAUUGGUCCAUCUUCUUCAUGGAGGCCGAAUAUAGCAUAGGGGAAGCCAUGGUUAGGGUUUCCAAGGUUUCCAAUUUGAAUAGUAAGUCCGUUCUAGCCUCGUUUUUAAUGUUCUUUACGUUUUUGAAGUCCCGGUAAUUUGAUUUAGCUUAUUCUAGCAAUAAUUCAAGCUAGGGUUCAUAAAAAUAUCCAUAGGUUAAAUUUGUUUAUUUUGAUGUUUUAUGGUAGAAUAUGAAGAUUGAAAUUAUGUUAAACAACUUUUACUAAGAGAUUUUAAGUGAAAACGAGUAAAACGACAUAAUCGGUUAAGUUUCAGAUAUAAUGAUUAAUGUUCGAUAAUAAUUUGAUAUUGGAAAGAGAACUUGUAUAAUUUAUAUGUAAGACCAUAUUUUGUAUUAUGGCUUUGUAUGAUAACAAGAAAGUAUUGACUAGCAUAGUUUGAUGAGAAUAAGUUAAGUUAAUGAUAUGAUAAGAUUGAGAAUGUAAGUAUGUAAGUUGAGUAGCAUUUUAUUAUUAUGCAAUUAUUGUUAUUAGUAUUGUUAUUAUUGAGUUAUGCAACUAACCUUGAGAAUUUGAGCAAGUAUGUUUCAGCUAUGACUUGACAAGGCAUUGAUAUCUUAAAAUCCAUGGUUGUACCAUGGCAAUUAAGGAAGAAUUGAUGGAAAAUUCCAUGUUCAUAACAUGGCAUUUAAGGAGGAAUUGACGGUUAAGGAUAUGUAAGACCAUGUCAAGACAUGGCAUUGGUAAGGCAAGGAUCCUGUGUAAGACCAUGUCAAGACAUGGCAUCGACAUUGAUUAAGGACUCCAUGUAAGACCAAAUCAAGAUGUGGCAUUGGCACUAAGACCAGGAUACCAUGUAAGACCAUAUUUGGAACAUGGCAUUUGGUAAGACAAGGAUACCAUGUAAGACCAUGUUUGGAACAUGGCAUUUGGUAAGAUAAGGAUAUCAUGUAAGACCAUGCCAAGGCAUGGCAUUGAUAAGUUCUAUAAGGUAAGGAAAUCAUGUACGACCAUGUCAAGAUAUGGCAUUGAUAAGUUACUAUAAGGCAAAGGUCCCAUGUAAGACCAUGCCAAGCCAUGGCAUUAGUGAGUUCAUAAGGCAAGGAUACCAUAUAAGACCAUGUCAAGACAUGGCAAUGGUAAAUUCAAAAAGGAAAUAGUUCCCGAGUAAUCCAAAGAGUAAGUCAAAGAAACUACAAGGUGAGAACGUGAAGAAAGAGUACAGGUAUGCAUUUAAGGCUUAUUUAAUAUUGAGAUUGAAGGUAAUUGAGAUUAUCAAGUAUUAAGUAAGUGAUGAGUUUUCAGUUAUGCUUGUGACACUUUAUGACAUGAUUGGCAAUAAGCCUAUAUUAUGAAAGAGUACUCAUGUGUUAAGUGAGAUGUUACAGGUAUGUAAGCAAGCUAUUAAGUAAGGUGCCUUUUGUAUUUCAAGUCUUUGGUAAGGUUACCGAUGAGUAAGAUGGGAAAGUAAUAACUAAACAUUAUUUAAGCAAAUUAUGACAACAUUGUAGUAAGCUAAAUUGAUUGUUAAUGAUUAUUAUUUUACAUGUGAACUUACUAAGAUUUAUAAGCUUACUUCUUUCACUUUCCCAUGUUUUAGAGUACUUAAAAGCAAGCUCGGGUUGGAGGUCGUCGGAGAUCACUUCACACUAUCGACUGUCAAGUUACCAAAUGGGUAUAUUCGUUUACAAACGUUCUAGUUUAUGGCAUGUAUAGGACUUAGCCAUUUUGUAUGUAUGUCCUUAUGAUAUGGCUAAAGAAUGGUAUGUAAAUAUUUGAUAAUGCUUAGCUAUUGAAAUGGCUAAUGAAGAACAUUUUUCGGUAUUAUGUAUGCCUAAAUGUUAGUUAAUAUAAAGAAAUCAUGAAAAAGUGAAAUUAGCAUUAAAACAGUAUUGAACAGCAGCAGUGAUGUGAUCUUGAAAAAUCACCAAGAAUAGUAGAAAUGGAAUUAGGUGAUGAAUGAGAUAUAGAAUUAAAUCUUAUUGAGUCUAUUUUCAUAUUAAAGAAACAAAGUUAGCAAAAGUAGUGUAUAUUAAGAGAUAUUUGAAUUUUAGUGAGAUACGGUCAGAGCAAUUUCUGAAUCCCCUAUUUUGACUUUAUAAAUUCACUAAAAAUUUUCCAAAAAUAAUUAGGAGUUAUAGUUUAUAUUUUCAGAUUCCUUAGUGAAUCUACUUUCCAUAGAAAUAAAUGGCAUGGUUAUUUGAAUUCUGUAAAGGGAGACAAUUGAUUCGUAGUGAGGAGAGGUAAGAGUAGUCAAACAGUGCAACAAGGAAAACUUUAACUAAUAAACUAUACUAACUGGCUACACCAAAAAUUUUGGAAAAUAAUUGGUAAGAAGAUAUAUGAGUCUAGUUUCAGGAAGAAUUCAUGAAUUUAAAUUUUGAGUUUUUUGACUCGAGUUAUCAUUUAUUUAGUGACUAUGAAGCAGGUGGGCAGUUUUAUAAGGAAUAAUGAAAUAAAUUGUUUUGAUUUCUCUAAGUAUUCGGAAAAUUUUUAAUGUUCCCGGUUUGGUCCCGAAGCUUUUCAAUUGCAUGUUUUAGGGUCUUGAGGGCCCUUUUUAGGGACAUAUUGAAUGAAUGUACUUAAAUUAAUUUUAAAAUAAAAUUUUAUGCCUCGAAUUAGUAAGUGAAGUCAGGUAAUGCCUCAUGCUCGACUCCGGCGACGGUCUUGGGUAAAGAGUGUUACAUUUAUUGGUAUCAAAGCAAAUGUUUAAUCAGUUUUUGGAAUAUUCAGUAUGAGUAAGAGUCUAGCUAUACAUGCCAUAUUGAACUAUGAUAGUGUGACGACUGACGACUCUCGACCCAGAUAUAAAAUGUUUUGUUAGAUAGAUGCACACUCCAACCGAGCUAAGUUUGAUAGUACAGACAGUAUGCUUAUGAUGAGUUGAGGCUCUUAAAAUGUAAGAAUAAUGGUUCAUGAUGUUUAUGUGAUAAUAAAUAAAUUUUGAAUAAAAAUUGUUCGAGAAAUAUGAAAGAUGAGAUAAGAUGAAAGGAAACUUUAUAUUGAGAAAAGUGUUCAUGUUAAAUUGGCAUUUGUAUGAUGCUAUAUGUAUAACUAGAGAAGUUAAUUGAAUGUUAUGAGUAAUUUUACUCGAGAUUUAUGAAUGCAUGUAUAAGUGCACUAAUUUUCAUAAGAUGAUCAUGAAGUCAUUGUAUUAUUAACGUGCAUGUUAAGUUGCUUGAAGCAUUGUAUAAUUGUGAUAAUAUUUUUAUAUGAUGAGUGUUAAGUUAUAUGCAUGAGUAUGUAAGAGGUAAGUCAGAGGUGUUACAACCUCACCCCCUUAUCAGUAAGGUAAUUCAGAAUGAGAUUUCAUGAAAUUCAGAUUGAAUAGGCUAAAGUGGAAAACUAAAUAGUUCAGUGACAGAUUUAUUGACGAUGUAAUCAGAGUCGAGAAUGAUUUAGAAAAUGAACACAGUUGCAGAAAGGAUGCCAGAUUAAUAAUAAAAUCAUCCGGAUAACUGAAAUGUCACAGUAAAAGAAAGGUCGGGCUCAUCUAAUGCACUCAUUCAAGUAUGAUGUGUAAGGUAUAUAAUUGCUAGAUUUUCUUCCGAAUAAAAUGGGAUAAUGUGAAUUCAGUAAUGAUAGAAUUAGACAGAGGAAUAAUAAUUGAGCUGUAUUAAUAGUUGAAUGUAGAGUUUAUAGUUGAGAAAUUAUAGAAAAAUCUUUUUCGACUAUUAUAUGUGUACAUUUACUUUCAGAGAUAUACAUAAAUAUAUGCAAGAUCAUAGAUGCAAUUCCUGCAGUAUGAGAAUAUUAGUUAAAUUUACAGACAAAUGAAAGCAUUAUAGUUUGUUUGAGCUGUGAUUGAUAUUGCUCUAUCUAUUCCAGUUUUCUACUUCAGCGUUUAGAUGGAAGGUUGAUAGUAAGAUUGUAUGAUGUUAGUGAUCUGUAUUGUUAACUAUUGCAUAAUGAAAGUAAAAGAAAAUUUUAUGGCUUUUGUUAUAGUUGUUCCCAGUGCUUGUGAGUAUCAUCUUUUCCUUUUGGAAAUUUUCUAAGAUGCUAUUGAAACCUUAACUGUUCUACAUGAGAUGUGGUUACCAGGAAUUCUGUGUAGCUCCAUGUUCUGAGAUUUUAUUAUCUCGGUUUUAUUAAUAAAUUAUUGUUCAAAGUAUCAGCCAUGAGACAUUAGCAGAAAAUGCUCUAUUGAUGAAAAUGGUUUCUUCUUAUUAUGAGUAUGUUUAUGAUGAUUACGAGUUCGGGCCUGAUAAUGAAAGUACAGAGGUAUAGUUAUCAGAGGUAUAAAGAUUCUUCUUUUGCACUGGUUGUUAUUGAAAUUUGUGUUUAAAUCUUUCAGCUGAUCAAGAUGUUUUAUUUUCACUCGGGACAUUAUUUACUAAAGUAAUUGAGAAGUCAGUCUUAUUAUAGCAUUAUGAUUUUUGAGUAGUAUGAGUAUUGUGGCCUUAGUGUAGUUCAGUUCAGAUAUGUGUAUUAAUUUUCAUUUUUCGCAUAAUCUUGAUAUAUAUAUCAGUGAGUUAAAGACCGAAUGUUAUGUUCUUUUGAGUUAUGUAGUAAUAAUGAUUUGUGAUUAGCUCUUUGAAGAAAUCACGACAGAACGUAUGUUUGAGAUAUCAUGACAGCAUAGAGAAGAACAGUUUUUGAGAAGUUAUUGUCUUUUAGUUGAGACUGAUUCAGUUGAACAGUUGAUUGAGUUAUAUGUAUGUUUGAAUUAUUCAUGGCUUCAGAGGUAAAUGCUGACUUUUCAUGUAUAAAUAGAUAAAUGACCCGAGUAAAUAGUACAUAUUCUAGAGGUUAUGGUACAGAGUUGUAUACGCAUAUCAGAAUGGUUGCAUCAGAGGUAUAUUUUUGCAAAUCCAAGUUGUCUGUUGUUAAAGUUCUCAUUGUAUGAAGUUUAGUUUGGCUUGAAUUCAUGCUAAUAAAGUAUAAACAGUUGAAGAUAUUGACAAUUGAAGUAUCCAUUAUGAUUUAGCUUGGUUUGAAUAAAGAGUUUAUGGUUUCUAGAAAUGUGUUAAUGAGAAAUCAAGAGAUUUUGCAACAGUUAUGAUGCCUAGCACAGUGAUAAUUAUUUGAUUAUUUGAGAAGUACAGAGAUGGAUGAUAACUUGAUUUAGUUAUACUAGUAAGAGUGUGAAAUGUUAUGUACCAGACUUUGAAUCCGAUACCUAAACUUUUAGAGAGUUAAAGUUGAUUUUCAAGUAUCUCAGAAGCUAUUACAGUUAGUAUUGAUGCUUGUGUGAAAAUGUGAGGGUAUUUUGAAGAAUUGUACAAUAGAAUUAGCAUUAUCACCGAAAGGUUAAAUGAGCUAUGGUUGAUUGCUCGAAGAAGUUUGUGUAUUCUUCUCAGUACGAAUGAGUUUUUCUAUUGAAGGAUUACCUGAGUUAUUCAUUUUGAGGUUGUCAAUUCAUUCAGGGUGUAAAUUUAGUUGUUAUGGCUGGAAAUCCAGGGUUGCACCGUGACUUAAGAAGAAAGCUACAGUAAGUUUUAACCAUGAGAUUGCUAAAUGUUAUGUAAGUUUUGACCAUGAGAUUGCUAAAUGUUAUUGCAUGUCACUUUUGUACUGAUAGUUGAAUUGAGGAAGAGAAAUUCACAGAAUUAAACUGAGCAGAAAGGAUUAGAGGAAAGUGAAAAUUAAUUAUAGAAAUCAGAGACAGAUUAUCAAAAAUUGUAUACAGAAUCGAAAGGUAAGAAUAUUGACACUCAAAAGAGAAACAAUAUUUUUUUAAAGUACCUUAGUGGCAGAGAAUUUCCAUUUUGGUAAGAAAAGAAGAGUUAGUUGCGUUUCAUCAGAGAAUAUGAUGUUAAUGAUAAAAUAAGGUCAAUUACUUAUCAAUAGGUAUUCCAGUUCAGAGCCUUAGUUUAAGAAGUAAAAUGUUGGGUAUGCCAAGGCUGAAUGAGAAUUUGAAGGUGUUGCUGAAAAUCAAUUUCGAAUCCAUUUGUAGGUAAGAUUUUCGGGGACGAAAAUCCCUAAAGGGGAGAGAAAUGUAACAUCCCAAAAUAUGGCCUAAACGGAAUAUUGGUUGCGAAACCAUGAAUCUGAGGUCAAAAAAAUUUAUUCUGAUUAAUUUUUAAGGUUUAUUCAUUGAUUGAAUAAUUUUGUGAAGAAAUUUUAUGUAUAAGUGCCUAAUUUGAUAAUUAGGACUAAAUUGUAAAAUUAGCAAAAUGUGUGUUCUAGAUAAUAAAGGGGAUUUAAUUGAAAUGGGUUCUUAAAGUGGAGGUCAUUAUUUAGAAAUUAGACUAUUAUAUUUAAGUUUGGACAAAAAUGGGCAAGAAUAGAACAAAUUUGAAAGAAAAGCCUUUAAGGGCAUUUUCGUCAUUUAGUAAUUAAAAGAAUUAAAAAGGGAAAAUAAAGCCAAAAUUGGUCCAUCUUCUUCAUGGAGGCCGAAUAUAGCAUGGGGGAAGUCAUGGUUAGGGUUUCCAAGCUUUCCAAGCUCAAUAGUAAGUCUAUUCUAGCCUCAUUUUUAAUGUUCUUUACGUUUUUGAAGUCCUGGUAACUUGAUUAAGCUUAUUCUAGCAAUAAUUCAUGCUAGGGUUCAUAUUUGGAAAAAUACUCAUAGGUUAAAUGUGUUUAUUUUGAUUUUUUAUGGUAGAAUAUAUGUAACAGCUUGAAAUAGGGCCUAAUCAGAACAGUGGUUACGACACCACAAAUUCGAGGUAGAAAUAUUUAUUUUAUGAUUAUUUUAGAGUCCAUGAUAUGUUUGAGUGAUUGUGUGCAAAUUUUGUUAAGUAAUUUUAUCAAUAAAGUGACCAAUUUUAUUAUUGGGAUUAAAUUGCAUUAAUUGCAAAAUAUGAGUUCUAAUAUAUAAGUACUUGUUUGAAAUGGGGGUUUAAACUAGAAGUCUUUAAAUGGAAAAUAGAUCAUCAUAUUUUGGUAUGGAGAAAAUUAGACAUGGAAGGGUAAAAUUGAAGGUUUAGUAAAAAGGGGUAUUUUGGUCAUUUGGGUGUUUUAAGGCAUAAAAAACGAAAUUUAAAACCCAAAAAUCUGCUCAUUCUCUUCCCCAUGCUGCUGAAAUUUUCAAAAAGCCAUGGUUAGGGUUUCAAGCUUUUCAAAGCUCAAUUGUAAGUGCAUUUGAGGCCCGUUUUAAAUGUUCAUCGUAUUUUUGAAAUUCCGGUAACUCAGUUUACCUAUUUCUACCAUUGUUUUGAGUUAGAGUUUGAUUUUAAAAAUUGACCAUUUUGAAUAAUUGUGUAUUUUGAUGAAUUAUGGUAGAUUAUGCAUGUCUAUGAUUAGAGAAACGAGUUUUAUUAGAUGAUUUUUGAUGAAAUCGUAUAAAAGGGGUUAAAUUGUAAAAGUUAUAAAUUGGUCAUAAGUGUGUGAAUUAGUGAGAAUUUGAAGUUUCCAUAGAAGAGAAAAAUGUUUAGCAUGCCAUGAAACAUAAAAAAGUUUAAUAAAAAUUAUUUUACGAGCUUAAGGGUAAAAGUGUAAUUUUUGAAAAGUUAGGGGGCAAAAUUGUAAAUUUUCCAAAAUUUGAUAUGUGAAUUGAAUUGAUUAGUGUUGAUAAAAGGUUUUAAAUGAGUGCUAUUUGACAUGUUAGAUCAAGAAAACAUGAAAUUUGGACUAAGAUCGGGGAAGAACAAAGUUGUGGGCUAAGUCGGGAAAAUUAGUCGUUUCGACAUUCGAGGGAAGUUGGUGUGAUAAUAAUAAUGUAAUAACAUUGUAAUUUAUAUUUGAAAGUUAAAUUAGUGAAUUAAUUGAAUUGUGUUGAAUUAAAUGUUUAAUAUGCCAAGUUUAUAAAUCGAUUUAAAAAUAUGUCUAUGGUACAAGAAAAUGCAUUGAAAUAUUGUAUUUAAAUGUGAUUUCUAUGAUUAUGCAUAUUAUGAAAAAAAUUUGUGAAUUAGUGUUGUUACGAGACAAGUGAUUAAGUGAAUGUUGAAUAAGUGUUAAUGAGUUAAACCGAAACAAAUCCCGAUUGAACUUUAGGAAUCUAUAGGCUACAAUAGAGUGGUAGCUUUGGCUACAUCUCAGUGGUAGCUUCGGCUACAAUAUAGUGGUAGCUUCGGUUACAUCUCAGUGGUAGCUUCAGCUACAAUACAGUGGUAGCUUCGGCUACAAUACAGUGGUAGCUUCGGCUACAACAUAGUGGUAGCUUCGGUUACGUUACAGUGAUAGCUUCGGCUAUAUUACAGUGUGGCACUUUGUGCCUUAUUCCGUGUAUCCUUUAGUAUUCCAUAAGGUUCAACGGGUAUUGAAAUGAUAUAAUGAAAAGUGAUUAAAUGUGAAAAGGUUUUAAUCAUGUGAUAAUAAUGUGCAAGUGAACAUUGUGUUUGAGGCAUUUAUAUGUGUAAGUGUGAAUAUGAAUCUUGUGAAUAAGUGCAGGUAUAUAUGUGUAAACUAUGAGCAAUAAGCUCAUUUUAUGGUUGUACUUUGGUAAGGUUGAUAAAAGGUAAAUGUUACCAUUAAUGCAACUAUAGAGAAAGCAUGAAAUAGUGAAUUUUAAAAGUAAAGCAGAUUUGGAUAGUACCAGUCAUGUACAUUUGAAAAAUCACAAAAAAUGAUAAGAAUUUAAUUAAUAAUUAAGAUAUGAAAUUAAAAGUCAUUGAGUCUAUUUUCAUAGAAAGAAAAUGGUGUGAGCAAAUGGAUUAUACUUUAUGAGAUAUUUAAAUUCUUAUGAGACUGGUUUAGAAUGAUUACGUGAUCCCCUAUUCUGACUUGGAAAAAUCAUUAUAAAUUGUAUAAAAAUAAUUAUGGUGCAUGGUUUAUGUGUUUAGAAUCCUUAUUGAGUAUGUUUUAUAUUGGAACAAACGAGAACAUUAUUUGAAUUCUGUAUAAUGAAAUAUCUUAGUUUUUGUGAAGAGAUGUCAGAACUUUCAAAAGUGAAAUAGGGGAAAAUUUAAUUAAUAAAAUGUAUUAAAUGGCUAAGAAAAAAUUCUGGAAAUUUUAUGACAAGAAGAUAUAUGAGUCUGAUUUUAGGAAAAAAUUACAGAACUUAAUUUUGAGUUCUGUAGCUUAUGAAAUAAUUAAAUUAGUGACUAUAGCUUGGGAAAAUAAUUUAAACUGAAUUUGAGUAAAAAGGUGAAAUCAUGUGAAUAUUGAUUCUAUUUUCUUGAGCAUACUUAUUGAGGAAUGGGUUAAUAUUGUUAAUUAAAUUGCUUAUUAUUAUAUGCCAACUUACUAAGUUAUAAAACUUACACUACUUUCCCAUUUCUCUCAGUGUUUUUCAGGAUUGGCUCGGGGUUGGAGAUCGUUAGAGGUAUCAUCACACUAUCAAUUUGUCAGGUUGGAAUAAAAGAAAUUCUUAUUUAUCUAUAAGUGAGUGGCAUGUAUAGAGAUUUAGUUUUGGUAUUAUGUAAUAUUAUGAUUUAGCCAAAUGUAUAGGCUUAUACUGUCUUAUUGUAUAAAUCCAUGAUGUAUGGCUCAUAAUGGCUAUAAGUAAGUAAACCUAUUUUAUGCAUACAUAAGUAAUGUCUUGAUGUGGUUAAGAUAAAUAUAACUAAGAUUAUGACAAAGGUUGAUAUAUCGUAUAUUAGUACAAAGAGUUAAGAACAUAAAAAGGGCUUGGAAAAUAGCCUAAUGUGUGCCAAACGGGCUAGAGGCACGGCCAUGUGUCUCAGCCGUGGGUUAGGACACGGCCACCGCACGGGCGUGUGGUUUGGUCGUGGUGCAUAAACAGAAUGCUCGAUGUUUUUAACACGGGCGUGUGUGACCACACGGCCUGCCCACACGGGCGUCGCCCAUGUCACACGGGUGUAUGACCCCUGAUUUAGUGAAAAAUGUAUAAGUGUUCGAAAAGUUCUUGUUUGGUUCUGAACCAACUUCAAUGAUUGUUUUGCGCCUCAUAAAGCCCAUAAUAGGGACAUAGAGGGUACUCAUGAAAGGUUUUAAUAUAUAAUUGAAAUGUAUGUAUCAGAAAAGUGUAUAAGAGUGCAAUAAUGCUUCAUACCCUGAUCUGGAAGCGGUUAGAGGUAAGGGUUGUUACAAUAUAAAGCUUGAAAUUAUGUUAAACAACUUUUGCUAAGCGAUUUUAAGUGAAAACGAGUAGAAAGACAUAAUCAGUAAAAAUACCUAAUGUUCAUAAGUGCAUGAUAGAGUGGGAAUUUGAUGUUUCCAUAGAAGGGAAAAAUGUUCAUCGUGUCAUAAAACAUAAGAAAAAUGAAUAAAUUUUAAUUUCUGAGCCUAGGGGUAAAAUUGUAAUUCUGCAAAGGUUUAGGGGCAAAAUUGUAAUUUUUCAAAAGUUUGAGUUACGGUAUUUUUUUAAUAGUACAUUAAUUAAAUAAGUGAAAUAUGAUGUUUUAGAUCCUGGAAAGUGAGAUUUGGACCUAGAACGGGAGAAAAACCAAAAAUCAGGAAAGUUGGUAAAAUAGUCGUUUUGGUAUCGAGGUAAGUUCAUAUGUUUAAUAAGCAUUUAAUUAUGCAUAUUUGAAUGAUAAAUUGAUAUUUUGGCCAUAAAUACUUUAGUAUUGAGUUUCAGAUAUAAUGAUUACAGUUCGACAAUAAUUCAAUAUUGGAAAAAGAACUUGUAUAAUUUAUAUGUAAGACCAUAUUUUGUAUUAUGGCUUUGUAUGAUAACAAGAAAGUAUUGACUAGCAUAGUUUGAUGAGAAUAAGUUAAGUUGAUGAUAUGAUGAGAUUGAGAAUGUAAGUAUGUAAGUUGAGUAGCAUUUUAUUAUUAUGCAAUUAUUGUUAUUAGUAUUGUUAUUAUUGAGUUAUGCGACCAACCUUGAGAAUUUGAGCAAGUAUGUUUCAGCUAUGACUUGACAAGGCAUUGAUAUCUCAAAGUCCAUGGUUGUACCGAGGCAAUAAAGGAAGAAUUGUCAGAAAAUUCCAUGUUCAUAACAUGGCAUUUAAGGAGGAAUUAACGGUUAAGGAUACCAUGUAAGACCAUGUCAAGACAUGACAUUGGUAAGGAAAGGAUCCCGUGUAAGCCCAUGUCAAGACAUGGCAUCGGCAUUCACUAAGGACUCCAUGUAAGACCACAUCAAGAUAUGGAAUUGGCACUAAGACAAGGAUACCAUGUAAGACCAUGUUUGGAACAUGGCAUUUGGUAAGAUAAGGAUAUCAUGUAAGACCAUGCCAAGCAUUGGCAUUGAUAAGUUCUAUAAGGCAAGAAAAUCAUGUAAGACCAUGUCAAGACAUGCCAUUGAUGAGUUACUAUAAGGAAAAUUUCUCAUGUAAGACCAUGCCAAUGCAUGACAUUGGUGAGUUCAUAAGGCAAUGAUACCACGUAAGACCAUGUCAAGACAUGGCAAUGGUAAGAUCAAAAAGGUAAAAGUUCUUGAGUAAUCCAAAGAGUAAGUCAAAGAAACGACAAUGUAAGAACAUGAAGAAAGAGUACAGGUAUGCAGUUAAGGCUUAUUUAAUAUUAAGAUUGUAAGUAAUUGAGAUUAUCAAGUAUUAAGUAAGUGAUGAGUUUUCAGUUAUGCUUGUGACACUUUAUGACAUGAUUGGCAAUAUGCCUAUAUUAUGAAAGAGUACUCAUGUGUUAAGUGAGAUUUUGCAGGUAUGUAAGCAAGCUAUUAAGUAAGGUUCCUUUUGUAUUUUGAGCCUUUGGUAAGGUUACCGAUGAGUAAGAUGGGAAAGUAAGAACUAAACAUUAUUUAAGCAAAUUAUGACAGCAUAGUAGUAAGCUAAAUUGAUUGUUAAUGCUUAUUAUUUUACAUUUGAACUUACUAAGAUUUAUAAGCUUACUUCUUUCACUUUCCCAUGUUUCAGAGUACUUAAAAGCAAACUCAGGUUGGAGGUCAUCGGAGAUCACUUCACACUAUCGACUUUCAAGUUACCAAAUGGGUAUCUUCGUUUACAAGCGUUCUAGUUUAUGGCAUGUAUAGGGACUUAGCCAUUUUGUGUGUAUGUCCUUAUGAUAUGGAUAAAGAAUGGUAUGUAAAUAUUUGAUAAUGAUUAGCUAUUGAAAUGGCUAAUGAAGAACAUGUUUCGGUGUUAUGUAUGCCUAAAUGUUUGUUAAUAUAAAGAAAUCAUGAAAAAGUGAAAUUAGCAUUAAAACAAUACUGAACAGCAGCAGUGACGUGAUCUUGAAAAAUCACCAAGAAUAGUAGAAAUGAAAUUAGGUGAUGAAUGAGAUAUAGAAUUAAAUAUUAUUGAGUCUAUUUUCAUAUUUUCAUAUGAAAGAAACAGAGUAAGCAAAAAGUAGUGUAUAUUAAGAGAUGUUUGAAUUUUAGUGAGACUGGGUCAGAGCGAUUUCUAAAUCCCCUAUUCUAAUUUUAUAAAUUCACUAAAAAUUGUACAAAAAUAAUUAGGAGUUAUAGUUUAUAUUUCUAGAUUCCUUAGUGAAUCUACUUUUAGGAGAAAGAAACGACAUGGUUAUUUGAAUUCUUUACAGGGAGAAAAUUGAUUCAUAGUGAGGAGAGGUCAGAGUAGUCAAAUAGUGCAACAAGGGAAACUUUAACUAAGAAACUGUACUAAUUGGCUAGACCAAAAAUUCUAGAAAACAAUUAGUUAGAAGAUAUAUGAGUCUAGUUUUAUGGAAAAUUCACAAAUUUAAAUUUUGAGUCUUGUGCCUCGAUUUAUGAUUUAUUUAGUAACUAUGACGCAGGUGGGCAGUUUUAUAAGGAAUAAUGAAAUAAAUUGUUUUGAUUUAUCUAAGUAUUCGGAAAACUUUUAAUGUUACUAGUUUGGCCCCAAAUCAUUUCAAUUGCAUGUUUUAGGGUCUCGAGGGCCCUUUUUAGGGUCAUAUUGAAUGAAUAUAAUUAAAUUAAUUUCAAAAGAAAAUUUUAUGCCCCGAAUUAGUAAGGUAAGUCAGGUAACGCCUCGUGCUCAACUCUGGCGACGGUCUCGGGUAAGGGGUGUUACAUGUUUCUUAAAAAUGAUUUAACAGGAGAUGUUUAUAUGCAACAACCUCCUGGGUAUGUUCAGAUAGAUAACAAUAGACAACAACCUAUUUUGAUUACAUAAAGCUUUGUAUGGGUUACGACAAGCAUGAUUUGACAAGUUGAAGGAGUUUCCUGUUUCCAUUGGGUUUGAGCUUUCUAAAUCCAAUGCAUCUUUGUUUGUUUGGGUUACUAAUACUUGUCAUAUAUAUGUUGGUCUAAAUCGAUGGUAUAAUUAUUACCAAUUACUCAAUUACAGAAAUUGGUAUGUUUGUAAGACUAUUAGAUACUGAGUUUUCACUUAAAGAUAUGAGGCUACUUCAUUAUUUCUUAGGUAUUAAGGUUGCUCAUCUUGACGGUGAUGGGUUACAUCUGAGUCAGUGGAAAUAUGUGCUUCAUUUGUUGGAAUGAUGUCUUAUGGAAAAUGCAAAAGGAGUUACCACACCUAUGAUCAGCUCUUGUUAGUUAUCUAAAUAUAUGGGAGGUUCACUUACAAACUCACAUGAGUAUCGUAGCAUUGUUGGGGCGCUACAAUGUGUAGUGCUCACUCGACCUAAUAUUGCUUACGCUGUCAAUCGCAUUUGUCAGUUCAUGUAUGCCCCAACUAAUGUUCAUUAUGUUGCAAUCAAAUUGGUUUUGAUUUAUCUUUGUGAUACUAUCGAUUAUGGUUUAUAGAUUCAGCCUACUAAUUGUUUAUCUUUGUUGGAUAUGUUAAUGCAAAUUGGGAUCUCAAUUUUGAUGAUCAUCAAUCCACCACUUGGUAUUGUAUAUUCUUUGGUGGUAAUCUUGUGUCUUAGUGUUCUAAAAACCAACAGGUCAUAUCUCGAUCAAUAGCAGAAAUAGGAUAUUGAAGUGUUGCUACUACUGUUGCAAACAUUACGUGGCUUGAGUUGUUAUUGAGUGAGCUUUGUUUGGAUCCAAAGAAAAGUCUGUUAUUUGGUGUGAUAAUUCAAGUGUUGUGGUUGUUUUUGCUAAUCUUAUUCUUCAUUCAAAAUUCAAACAUGUUGAGCUUGAUUUGUUUUUUGUUUGUGAAAAAGUUGCUGAUGAGAAAUUAGUCGUGGGUGAAGUUCCAGCACAUGAUUAGGCUAUUCAUAUACUUACCAAGCCAUUGUCAUUGAUAGUUUUUUUCUCGAUUUCGGAAUAAACUAAGAGUCAUAAAACAUGGAUGAUGGUGAAUAUUAGAGUAAAUGAAGUAGUUCAUUAGUUAACAGCGGUUAUGCAAAAUAAAUCUUCGUAUAAAUUCACAUCAGUGUAAGACUUAAAAGAUGGAAAAUGGAGAGAAUUCAAGUGUCAGAAAAGCCAUCGUAGAGAAGUUGAUCCCGAAGAAAGUUCGCUUUAGAAAGGAAGACGGAGAUUCUAAUAACGACAUGAUGAUCGAUCUGACCUCGGAGCAACCCGUUUCAUGGAAAGAUAAACUUGUCGGUCAAUCAUCAAAGAAUGACAUUACUGGUUCUGAGAGAAGAGAAGAUUUUGUUAUUAUGGAUGGCGACAUUCAAAAAUCUUUUGUGAAUGGAGUGCCUUCUAUAACUUUCUCGGAAAGGGUUUAUAAAUUUUUAAUACAAGGUAUGGAGAAUACCGUGAUUUUAAAAUUACUUGGUCGUAACGUCGGUUUUUCAGUUUUGCAGAGUAAAUUAUACAAUCUGUGGAUACUUUCAGCAACCUUACAUAUGAUGGAUACUGAGAAUGGAUAUUUUCUGGUUAAAUUCCAAAAUAAGUUGGACUGUGAAAAGGCUCUUUCUGAAGGCCCUUGGAUUAUCUUUGGACAGUACUUGACGGUUCAGCCUUGGACGGUAUCUUUUGAUCCCUCUCAGGCAUAACCCAGAAUUGUGAAGGCGUGGAUCAGAUUUCCUGGUUUACCGGGGUACUUAUACAAACAUAAAAUUAUUAUUGAGAUAGAAGGGAUGGUUGGAAAAAUGGUUAAGCUCGACAUGAACACUGAUAGUAGAGCUAGAGGGCGUUUUGCUAGAAUGGCGGUUUAUGUUGAAUUGGAUAAGCCUUUGGUUUCCCAAAUCUUGAUUAAUGGACUAAAACAGAAUAUGGAAUAUGAGUCUCUAUCCACAAUCUGUUUUAGUUGUGGAAGAUAUAGUCACAUGGAAAAAUCUUGUAUGUUCAGGAAUUCAGGUGUCACCGGAGAAAAGAGUUUUACUUCACAUGAAGAAUUGUCAGAGAUUCGGGAAACGAUCAGAGAUAGCUCGGGGAAGAAGGACAAAAAUUACGGACCAUGGAUGAUCGUUGAAAGGAAAUCAAGGCGAAAAUUUAGAGAGAAUGUGCAGGCUCCUGUAGCAAGUUAAGGGACUGAACAAGAAGGCUCACGAUUUAGACUCCUUAAUAAUCGGGAUUCCUAUAAAAAUAUUGAUGAGGGUGUUCUGUCACGUAAUAAAGGGAAAGAAAUAUUCAAUGGAAAAUAUACCAAGAAAGAGGUUGGCUCUUUUCAAAAAGAUAGUCUUGAUUUAGGCAAGAAUAAUAAUAAUAAUAACUGUCAGGAUAAAGAGGUAGGUCAUUCUAAUAAUAAAGGGUCGAAUACUAAUGGGGAAAAUGGGCCAAUAUCUAGGUCCAGCUUGAAUCAAAAAAGGACUAAAGAAAACUUACCAGAUUCUAAGAAGCAGACCAGCUACUUAGGCCUUGGAGACAGUUCAAAUGCUCAAGCCCGGGUUAUCUUGGACCUGCCUGGAUCGGUCACUAUGGCCCAACAGAAAGCUGUGGUUGCUGGCUGCAGUAGCAGUUCCAUGGUGGUGGUAGACGAGCAAUCGCCUUCUACCGGUGAGAUGGAUCUUCUCCUUGAAGUCAAUUCUGGUUUGGCUCAAGGGUCUCCGGUACUGGAAGGGGAUAUAAGAAAGGAAGAGAGACUGGCAGUGGGAAACCUUAAUCCUAGAAGACAUACGGCUGUGGUAUUCUACGAAAACUCGAACUCGAACAAAACUAACCCUCUUCCAAACAGCAAUAAAGGGUUAAUCCCGGUGAGUAACUCUGGCCUAGGGAAGGGAUUUGGUACUAGAGGAAAAGGAAUUUCUAAGAAAUGGAACAAAGUUGUCCAUGCUAGCAACUCCCAUUUCAAAUUCGCUGGCUCACAACGGGUGCCUUUGAAGGAAUCGAUAGAACAGAUUGCUGAAAGCCUUUUGGCCUUAUCCAAAUCCAAUCUUGAAUCGGUGGAAGCCAAUGUGCUGGACGGACAAAUUGAAGGGAGUUUUGCCCCUGGACAGUAA
rnacentral:lncRNA from 1 species